CCUACGGUGGGCAGCAGUAGGGAAUAUUGCUCAAUGGGGGAAACCCUGAAGCAGCAACGCCGCGUGGGGGAUGACGGUUUUCUGAUUGUAAACUCCUUUUGUUAGAGAAGAUAAUGACGGUAUCUAACGAAUAAGCACCGGCUAACUCCGUGCCAGCAGCCGCGGUAAUACGGAGGGUGCAAGCGUUACUCCGAAUCACUGGGCGUAAAGAGCGCGUAGGCGGGAUAGCAAGUCAGAUGUGAAAUCCUAGGGCUUAACCAUAGAACUGCAUUUGAAACUGUUAUUCUAGAGUAUGGGAGAGGUAGGUGGAAUUCUUGGUGUAGGGGUAAAAUCCGUAGAGAUCAAGAGGAAUACUCAUUGCGAAGGCGACCUGCCAGAACAUAACUGACGCUGAUGCGCGAAAGCGUGGGGAGCAAACAGGAUUAGAUACCCCAGUAGUC
rnacentral:rRNA from 1 species